GGGAUCAGUGGCAGAGAGCAUUUGCUUGGCAUGCCAAUGGCCACAGGUUCGAUCCCUGGCAUCUCCA
rnacentral:tRNA from 1 species